rnacentral:rRNA from 1 species
UACAGAGGGGGGCGAGCGUUAUUCGGAAUUAUUGGGCGUAAAGGGCGCGUAGGCGGCUUUUCAAGUGACGGGUGAAAUCCCUCGGCUUAACCGAGGAACUGCCUGUCAGACUGGAAGGCUUGAGACCGGGGAGAGGUGAGUGGAAUUCCCAGUGUAGCGGUGAAAUGCGUAGAUAUUGGGAGGAACACCAGUGGCGAAGGCGGCUCACUGGACCGGAACUGACGCUGAGGCGCGAAAGCGUGGGGAGCAAACAGGG